UACACAUGCAAGUCGAGCGGAUGAAAGGAGCUUGCUCCUGGAUUCAGCGGCGGACGGGUGAGUAAUGCCUAGGAAUCUGCCUGGUAGUGGGGGACAACGUUUCGAAAGGAACGCUAAUACCGCAUACGUCCUACGGGAGAAAGCAGGGGACCUUCGGGCCUUGCGCUAUCAGAUGAGCCUAGGUCGGAUUAGCUAGUUGGUGAGGUAAUGGCUCACCAAGGCGACGAUCCGUAACUGGUCUGAGAGGAUGAUCAGUCACACUGGAACUGAGACACGGUCCAGACUCCUACGGGAGGCAGCAGUGGGGAAUAUUGGACAAUGGGCGAAAGCCUGAUCCAGCCAUGCCGCGUGUGUGAAGAAGGUCUUCGGAUUGUAAAGCACUUUAAGUUGGGAGGAAGGGCAGUAAAUUAAUACUUUGCUGUUUUGACGUUACCGACAGAAUAAGCACCGGCUAACUCUGUGCCAGCAGCCGCGGUAAUACAGAGGGUGCAAGCGUUAAUCGGAAUUACUGGGCGUAAAGCGCGCGUAGGUGGUUUGUUAAGUUGGAUGUGAAAUCCCCGGGCUCAACCUGGGAACUGCAUUCAAAACUGACAAGCUAGAGUAUGGUAGAGGGUGGUGGAAUUUCCUGUGUAGCGGUGAAAUGCGUAAAUAUAGGAAGGAACACCAGUGGCGAAGGCCACCACCUGGACUGAUACUGACACUGAGGUGC
rnacentral:rRNA from 1 species